AACAUGACUGUGAUGUGAAGGCAGAUUCAGGUGUAUUAGGCAGAGAAACAUGACUGUGAUGUGAAGGCAGAUUCAGGUGUAUUAGGCAGAGAAACAUGACUGUGAUGUGAAGGCAGAUUCAGGUGUAUUAGGCAGAGAAACAUGACUGUGAUGUGAAGGCAGAUUCAGGUGUAUUAGGCAGAGAAACAUGACUGUGAUGUGAAGGCAGAUUCAGGUGUAUUAGGCAGAGAAACAUGACUGUGAUGUGAAGGCAGAUUCAGGUGUAUUGAACAGAGAAACAUGACUGUGAUGUGAAGGCAGAUUCAGGUGUAUUAGGCAGAGAAACAUGACUGUGAUGUGAAGGCAGAUUCAGGUGUAUUGAACAGAGAAACAUGACUGUGAUGUGAAGGCAGAUUCAGGUGUAUUAGGCAGAGAAACAUGACUGUGAUGUGAAGGCAGAUUCAGGUGUAUUGAACAGAGAAACAUGACUGUGAUGUGAAGGCAGAUUCAGGUGUAUUAGGCAGAGAAACAUGACUGUGAUGUGAAGGCAGAUUCAGGUGUAUUGAACAGAGAAACAUGACUGUGAUGUGAAGGCAGAUUCAGGUGUAUUAGGCAGAGAAACAUGACUGUGAUGUGAAGGCAGAUUCAGGUGUAUUGGGCAGAGAAACAUGACUGUGAUGUGAAGGCAGAUUCAGGUGUAUUGAACAGAGAAACAUGACUGUGAUGUGAAGGCAGAUUCAGGUGUAUUGAACAGAGAAACAUGACUGUGAUGUGAAGGCAGAUUCAGGUGUACUGGGCAGAGAAACAUGACUGUGAUGUGAAGGCAGAUUCAGGUGUAUUAGGCAGAGAAACAUGACUGUGAUGUGAAGGCAGAUUCAGGUGUAUUGAACAGAGAAACAUGACUGUGAUGUGAAGGCAGAUUCAGGUGUAUUGAACAGAGAAACAUGACUGUGAUGUGAAGGCAGAUUCAGGUGUAUUAGGCAGAGAAACAUGACUGUGAUGUGAAGGCAGAUUCAGG